ACAUCCAGAGAACUUAGCAGAGAUGCUUUGUGCCUUCGGGAACUCUGAGACAGGUGCUGCAUGGCUGUCGUCAGCUCGUGUUGUGAAAUGUUGGGUUAAGUCCCGCAACGAGCGCAACCCCUAUCCUUUGUUGCCAGCGAUUCGGUCGGGAACUCAAAGGAGACUGCCGGUGAUAAACCGGAGGAAGGUGGGGAUGACGUCAAGUCAUCACGGCCCUUACGAGUAGGGCUACACACGUGCUACAAUGGCGCAUACAAAGAGAAGCGACCUCGCGAGAGCAAGCGGACCUCAUAAAGUGCGUCGUAGUCCGGAUUGGAGUCUGCAACUCGACUCCAUGAAGUCGGAAUCGCUAGUAAUCGUAGAUCAGAAUGCUACGGUGAAUACGUUCCCGGGCCUUGUACACACCGACCGUCACACCAUGGGAGUGGGUUGCAAAAGAAGUAGAUAGCUUAACCUUCGGGAGGGCGUUUACCACUUUGUGAUUCAUGACUGGGGUGAAGUCGUAACAAGGUAGGCGUAGCGAG
rnacentral:rRNA from 1 species